CCACAUUGCUAGGUACAUGUGACUGCUUUCCUGAGUCAGCUCCUGCCCCCGCAAUUAGCUUUACUUAAAAGGGAUAACAGAUGUACUCUACUUCUUACACUUAGUGAGAGCUGCUGAAGUAGCAGAAAGAGAAAUGCUUUUCUUUCUUAAUUUAUAUGCUGUCCAGGCAGCUGUCAAGGUAUAGAAGAAUGUGAACAGACAGAAGGCCCCUUGAAGUGGCUCUUCUUCUCCUUCAAUAUGAGUCAAGAUGACUGCACACUUUGGCUUGAUUCAAAGGGAACGCCACGUACGUACCAGACCAUCAAAGAAAGGAGGAGACUUGAUAUAAGUAGACUUGGGA